AGUUGACAUGGCGGGAUCCAGAGUACCACGAGACACGUGGAACCUUGUGGGAAGAUGCGGGGACCACCCCGUAAGGCUAAAUACUACUUAGUGACCGAUAGCGCAUAGUACUGUGAAGGAAAGGUGAAAAGGACCCCGGGAGGGGAGUGAAAAAGAACCUGAACCCAUAUGUUUACAAGCUGUGGAAGAGCUUUAUAUGCUCAACCGCGUACUUUUUGUAGAACGGUCCGGCGAGUUACGCUGGCUGGCGAGGUUAAGGACUAAAGGUCCGGAGCCGAAGGGAAACCAAGUCUGAACAGGGCGCAUAGUCAGUCGGAGUAGACCCGAAACCGGGUGAUCUAUCCAUGUCCAGGUUGAAGUUGCCGUAAAAGGCAAUGGAGGACCGAACCCACAUCCGUUGAAAAGGGUGGGGAUGAGGUGUGGAUAGGGGAGAAAUUCCAAUCGAACCCGGAGAUAGCUGGUUCUCCUCGAAAUAGCUUUAGGGCUAGCCUCAUACGAGUCUUGCGGAGGUAGAGCACUGAAUUCCUAAGGGGGCGUCAAAGCUUACUAAGGGAUAUCAAACUCCGAAUGCCGUGUAGAUGAUGUAUGGGAGUCAGACGAUCCGAGAUAAGUUGGGUGGUCAAAAGGGAAAGAGCCCAGACCAACAGCUAAGGCCCCAAAAUGUGUGUUAAGUGGAAAAGGAUGUGGGAUUUCGAAGACAACUAGGAUGUUGGCUCAGAAGCAGCCAUUCAUUCAAAGAGUGCGUAAUAGCUCACUAGUCGAGAGGUCCUGCGCCGAAAAUGUCCGGGGCUAAAACACACUGCCGAAGCUUUGGAAUUGAGAAUUCAAUUGGUAGAGGAGCAUUCUUAAAGGGACGAAGCAGUACCGUAAGGAGCUGUGGACUUUUAAGAAGAGAGAAUGCCGGAAUGAGUAGCGAGAGGAAGGUGGGAAUCCUUCCGGCCGAAUAUCUAAGGUUUCCAGAGUAAAGCUGAUCUGCUCUGGGUAAGUCGGGGCCUAAGGCGAGGUCGAAAGACGUAGUCGAUGGAUAACAGGUUGAAAUUCCUGUACUAUCCUGUAACAGAACUGUGGGGACACAGGCAGAGAGCGUGAGCCGGGAAUGGAAAGACCGGUACAAGCGAGGUAGGAGAAGAGUUGGCAAAUCCGCUCUUUAAUCUGAAGACGUGAUGUGGACUGAAAAUAAGUAGGGAAGCACGUGAGCUGACUGUCAAGAAAAGCCGCUAUUGUUUGCAGGAUACCCGUACCGUAAACCGACACAGGUGGAUGAGGAGAGAAUCCUAAGGCCGACGGGAGAAGCAUUGUUAAGGAACUCGGCAAAAUGACUCCGUAACUUCGGGAGAAGGAGUGCCAGUAAGAUGGCCGCAGAGAAUUGGCCCAAGCAACUGUUUAGCAAAAACACAGGUCUAUGCAAAACCGAAAGGUGAGGUAUAUGGGCUGACGCCUGCCCGGUGCUGGAAGGUUAAGGGGAGAGGUUAGCGCAAGCGAAGCUUUGAACUUAAGCCCCAGUAAACGGCGGCCGUAACUAUAACGGUCCUAAGGUAGCGAAAUUCCUUGUCGGGUAAGUUCCGACCCGCACGAAAGGCGUAAUGAUUUGGGCACUGUCUCAACAAUGCACCCGGUGAAAUUGAAAUACCAGUGAAGAUGCUGGUUACCUGCGCCAGGACGGAAAGACCCCAUGGAGCUUUACUC
rnacentral:rRNA from 1 species